rnacentral:rRNA from 1 species
UGAACGCUGGCGGAAUGCUUUACACAUGCAAGUCGAACGGUAGAGGGGGCAACCCCUUGAGAGUGGCGAACGGGUGAGUAAUAUAUCGGAACGUGCCCAGUCGUGGGGGAUAACGUAGUGAAAAUUACGCUAAUACCGCAUACGAUCUAAGGAUGAAAGCGGGGGAUCGCAAGACCUCGCGCGAUUGGAGCGGCCGAUAUCAGAUUAGGUAGUUGGUAGGGUAAAGGCCUACCAAGCCAACGAUCUGUAGCUGGUCUGAGAGGACGACCAGCCACACUGGAACUGAGACACGGUCCAGACUCCUACGGGAGGCAGCAGUGGGGAAUUUUGGACAAUGGGCGAAAGCCUGAUCCAGCCAUUCCGCGUGCAGGAUGAAGGCCCUCGGGUUGUAAACUGCUUUUGUACAGAACGAAAAGGUUUCUAUUAAUACUAGGAGCUCAUGACGGUACUGUAAGAAUAAGCACCGGCUAACUACGCGCCAGCCGCCGCGGUAAUCU